GAGUUUGAUCUUGGCUCAGAUUGAACGCUGGCGGCAUGCCUUACACAUGCAAGUCGAACGGUAACAGGUCUUCGGAUGCUGACGAGUGGCGAACGGGUGAGUAAUACAUCGGAACGUGCCCAGACGUGGGGGAUAACGAGGCGAAAGCUUUGCUAAUACCGCAUACGAUCUAAGGAUGAGAGCAGGGGACCGCAAGGCCUUGCGCGUUUGGAGCGGCCGAUGGCAGAUUAGGUAGUUGGUGGGAUAAAAGCUUACCAAGCCGACGAUCUGUAGCUGGUCUGAGAGGACGACCAGCCACACUGGGACUGAGACACGGCCCAGACUCCUACGGGAGGCAGCAGUGGGAAUUUUGGACAAUGGGCGAAAGCCUGAUCCAGCAAUGCCGCGUGCAGGAUGAAGGCC
rnacentral:rRNA from 1 species